rnacentral:lncRNA from 1 species
AGCACCGGGAAGCAGGGGCCGAGCCUUCCCCGCUCUGUGCCUGGGGGCUCUGGGCACUGUCUACACCUGGGAGGUGGUCAGCAUAUGUGCGUGGGAACUUGCUGGAAGGAAGGAAUGACCCUUCUAGCCAUGGAACGGUGGUCAUCCGUGAGCCACGGCCUCAGGAGGUGCCUUCCUAAUGUGCAGGUGACGAUUGCCUCUGAGCUCAGGCAUGCAGCUUCUGGGAUGCACUCUCCUUUCACGGCAAAGCAUUCUGCAUAGGAAAAACCGUCUCUGCGUCUCCAAGCUGUGGCCUAGCCCUUCAUUCAUCAAAUGGGAUACAACUUUCAUUUCUUAUUAAAAUCUGGAAGUCACUCUCCAUUUGUAAGAUAUCCCAGGGGUUGAUGUCAUCUUGUAAAGGGGGACAGUGCCAUUUUCUAUCUUACACUUUAAAAAGACAAAACCACUAGCUACAAACAUCAUUCACCACAGCAUGGGAGAGGCAACCCCACAGCAAAGGUUAUGUCAUGUUUCAUAAAUGGGUAUGGAUUUGGGGGCUGGUUUUUUUAAUAAAAACAUAUUUUGGUACUUUGGAACUUGACAUAAUUUGAGCUGUUUAUGUUGUAGAUGUUAUGAAUAGAUGUUAUGGUAUUAAUUAAUAGUGUGUAUUUUCUAUGUCUGGGCUUGCCUGGACCGCUGGUCCUUGCCUUUCUUUCUGACACAGAAUUUCCAGGGCCUCAACCUGCUUCUGUCUGGAAGUGACAGCCCACUCCACAGGGGUCUUCAGAUAGGGGUAGAAGGUGGUGCCCUGGGCUCUCCUGGCUCUAGAGAAUCUGGCUCUAGAAUCACGAAGCCUUCCAGCAUCCCCAGCUUCCCCCUUGCAGUAAUCCCAUAAGGGAAGCGUUGUCCCAUUUUACAGAGAGUCCGUGGGGCUGAGAGGUGUCAUGAAUUAUUCUAAUGGUAGUAACUCUAUUGGAGAGGCUGAAACCCGGGGCUCGUGGAUGUUGUGACCCACCCCCCACCAGAACCUCCCAUCCUGACUCACUGAAUAUUUAGUACCAUCGUCCCCUGGAGGAUGGUCUAGUUGGCAAGUAGCUGAGGAUUUUUAAUUCUAAUUUAGUUUAAACAUGGCUGUUUGUUGCUGUUGCUCUCUAAAGGGCCUUAUUAAAGACUCUUGCUGCAGUGAAGGUGGCCUGUCUAGGAAUCGAUAUGGAUGUUGAGAUCUGAGACUCUACAACACCCCCAAUCUCAGUCCUUCUCGCUCCAUAGGCAGUUCCAUUCCCUGCAGAUCUAACUCUGAGAUUCUCACUCCUGAAAAUGCCUGGACAAUAAAUAAAUCCAAGGUGAAGGUGUUGAUGCCAGUGACCUAGCUGCAUCAUUUUAUUCAUGGCAUCAAGCCUUCAAGAAUGUGGCUUAACUUGUAUUUAUUCACAUGAUAAUGGCUUUUUAUAAAUCUGCAUCUCUUCCUCCCCUAGGAAGAAAAAAAGGGCAUCUCUUCAUGAGUCACUUGAUUAAAAUUCCUCUCCAGUACUCUGUACCAUCCACUCAUACUGGAAUUGUUGAAAAUCAGGUGAUUUGCAACUCCACACUUGCCCAAAUUAAACCAUGAGUGGAAUUGACAAUAUGAAUCCUGAAUUUUCUGAGCUGGAAGGAGGUUCUAGUGAUUACCCACACCAGGGAUGGCAUUUUACACAUGAAGAAACAGAGGCCCCAGGGUUGUUUCUGAUCCAGGUAGGAUCAAUAUCUCGGUAGAGAAAAGGGGGAAUUUUUUUGCUUAUACUUUUUAAAAUAAGCUACUUGUGGCUGGGCGUGGUGGCUCAUGCCUGUAAUCCCAGCACUUUGGGAGGUCAAGGCAGGCAGAUCACUUGAGGUCAGGAGUUUGAGACCAGCCUGGCCAACAUGGUGAAACCCCAUCUCUACUAAAAAUACAAAAAUUAGAUGGGCGUGGUGGCACAUGCCUGUAAUUACAGCUACUUGGGAGGCUGAGGUGGAAGGAUCGCUUGAACCCAGGAGGCUGAGGUUGCAGUGAGCUGAGAUCACACCACUGCCCUCAAGCCUGGGAGGCAAAGCGAGACUCUGUCUUAAAAAAAUAAAAGUAAAAUAAGCUACUCGUAAGGGGUGUGUGUGUGUGUGUGUACAUGCAUGUGUGUAAUCUCUGUGGCGUGUGACCUGGAUAUAUUCAUAAAGGUGUAAGAAUAAUUCAAGUAGGUAACGCUCUCUCACAUUUUUUAAAAAAAGAAAGAAGGAAAAUAUUUAUUCCUUAUAUUUCAGGAUGGCAGUCAAUUAGGGUGUGAUGUGACUUAAAGGUCACAGGAGACCUUGCCUCUUGCCAAGUGCUGCCACGACUGUGUGGAAAAUCUCUUGUGUACUGGGGACCCAGUUUCUUUCCUGUGAAGGGAGUUGACAGAAAUAAAAAAGAUCACUGAAUGAGAUAAUCGUUGUAAAGGAGCCAGCAUAGCAGCCCCUUAAUUAGGGGGAGUGUGCUGUGUCACUGAAACACUCUUUGUUUCCAAUCAGGGAGCUCUCACUGAUCAGUCAGGACUCUAAUUGUUGGAUAGAGUCAACAAUUAGAAAAAAAGUUAUAGUCUCCUAGGAGACAUAGACAAGUGAGCUGACAGGGUGGGCUCAGCUCACCCUGUCCCAGCACCUUGGGAGGAGUGUCAAGGCAAACGACAGGCAGCUGGGUGCAGUGGUGUGAGCCUGUGAUUCCUGCUACUUAGGAGGCUGAGGUGGGAGGAUCGCUUGAGCCUGUGAGUACAAGGCUAGCUUGGGCAAUUUUGGGGAGACAGAAUAAACAAAAAUUGACUUUUUUUAAAAAAUAAGUUUGUAUUUUCUUCAAUUCAAAACAUUUUUAGAAUUGAUAUUACUUUUUAUAGCUUUAAGGCAUAUUUCACAUCGAUAUUACUUCUUAAUAUAUAUAUUUUUUUGCUACAGAUUUGGAGUGUGUAAAUUGAUAAAAUUAGUAUCAAUGCUAUUGUAACUACCUGGAAUUGGUUAAAUAGCAGCAGUGCCAGUCACCUUUCUUAGAGUAGAGAUUGCCAGCAGGCAAUAUCUUCAUCCUCAGGACCCAGGUCUCUCUUCUCUGACCCUGCCUGGACCCUGACAAUCCCAGGGCGCUCUGCGUUGGAAUCAGUUUGGAUGUGUGUUACCAGAUCUUCGCUGAAGCAGGGCACUCUGCAUUGGAGUAAAUUUGGAUGUGUGUUACCAGAUCUUCGCUGAAGAACGCAAGGAACCCAGCAUGCAAAGCUGGCCACUACAGUUACAUUUUUCCCUCCCUUUGAAAAAAAUUUUAUGAAUGCCUUUCUGAACAAAGAAUAUGAACUAACCCUCAUCAUUCAUUACAUUUAAAUAGCAUAACAUGCCAUUGAAAUCCUUUUCCAGACGUUUCAGCAAGUGAAAUCAUUUGUGGUUCAUGUUAUAGCUUUUUCAGUAACAUGACUUGAGAAAUUUUUCUUCUUACUAAUAAAAGGGAAUCAUUCCCGCAGUUAAA